AGUAAUACAUAAGUAACCUGCCCUAGACAGGGGGGUAACGUAUUGGAAACGAUAGCUAAGACCGCAUAGGUACGGACACUGCAUGGUGACCGUAUUAAAAGUGCCUCAAAGCACUGGUAGAGGAUGGACUUAUGGCGCAUUAGCUGGUUGGCGGGGUAACGGCCCACCAAGGCGACGAUGCGUAGCCGACCUGAGAGGGUGACCGGCCACACUGGGACUGAGACACGGCCCAG
rnacentral:rRNA from 1 species